GACGAACCGUGCGAACGUUAUUCGGAAUCACUGGGCUUAAAGCGCGUGUAGGCGGGCCGGCACGUCGGUCGCUAAAAUCCCCCGGCUCAACCGGGGAAGGGGCGCCGAUACGACCGGCCUGGAGGGGCGUAGGGGGACCGGGAACUUCCGGUGGAGCGGUGAAAUGCGUUGAGAUCGGAAGGAACGCCCGUGGCGAAAGCGCGGUCCUGGACGCCUGCUGACGCUGAGACGCGAAAGCCAGGGGAGCGAACGGG
rnacentral:rRNA from 1 species